rnacentral:rRNA from 1 species
UACGUAGGGGGCAAGCGUUGUCCGGAUUUAUUGGGCGUAAAGAGCGUGUAGGCGGCCUGACAAGUCUGCUGUGAAAACUCGAGGCUCAACCUCGAGAUGUCGGCGGAAACUGUCUGGCUAGAGUCCGGAAGAGGAGAGUGGAAUUCCUGGUGUAGCGGUGAAAUGCGCAGAUAUCAGGAAGAACACCUAUGGCGAAGGCAGCUCUCUGGGACGGUACUGACGCUGAGACGCGAAAAGCGUGGGGAGCGAACAGG